rnacentral:rRNA from 1 species
UACAGAGGGUGCGAGCGUUAAUCGGAAUUACUGGGCGUAAAGCGCACGUAGGUGGCGACGUAAGUCGGGUGUGAAAGCCCCGGGCUCAACCUGGGAAUUGCAUUCGAGACUGCAUUGCUGGAGUACGGAAGAGGAGGGCGGAAUUCCCGGUGUAGCGGUGAAAUGCGUAGAUAUCGGGAGGAACAUCAGUGGCGAAGGCGGCCCUCUGGUCCAGUACUGACACUCAAGUGCGAAAGCGUGGGGGGCAAACAGG